AUGGACCUGGUGAACAGGGACCUCCCACCGCCGUUCGCUAACCUCGUCACUAAUCCUCUUGACUGCAGCGACCUCAUCGCGAGGUUACAAAGGAAGGGCCUGAGCGCGACCGAGAUGACCGUGCUCUCCGGUGCGCACAACAUCGGCUCCGUGCAGUGCCAGAACUACAGGCUCCGCCUCUACAACGAAAACCGCAUUGAUUUUCAGUUCGCCCAGGAGCUCAAGGCCAACUGCCCUCAAAAUGGCCCCGCCGGCGACACCUUCCUGGCGCCGUUGGACUCGACGGGGUCCGUCUUCGACAAUAAGUACUACGUGGACCUCACCAGGUUGCGCGGCCUCCUCCACUCCGACCAGGUGUUGUACCCCCAGAACAACCAGACGCAGGCUAAGAUAGUGCUCAAGUACAAAGGAGACAACGCCGCCUUCUUUCCCGAUUUCGCAGCCGCGAUGAUAAAGAUGGGGAACCUCAGCCCGCUCACUGGAACCGCCGGCCAAAUCAGGACCAACUGUAGGUUGGUCAACCCC
rnacentral:rRNA from 1 species